AGAACCGGAAGAAUCCGAUGGUGGCUGGCGAGGGCCAAGUCUCUUACGUCUUCCUCUCGUUUCUCUCUCCCCGCCUCCUCCGCAGAAGCCGAGCGCCAAACUCAAACUUUAUCAGGACCCGGACGUUUCUCUGGCUAGUUUCGAGGGCCGGGCCUGUUGGGCCUUUCCGCACACCAGCCGGGGCAGCGAGCCAACAUGAGCCAAGUUCUGUUCCACCAACUAGUCCCGUUGCAGGUGAAAUGCAAAGACUGCGAGGAGAGGACUUAGUUAUUCGUCUGACUGAUGACACGGAUCCAUUUUUUUUAUAUAACCUUGUUAUAUCUGAGGAAGAUUUUCAAAGUUUAAAAUUCCAGCAAGGUCUUCUGGUAGACUUCUUAGCUUUCCCACAAAAAUUUAUAGAUCUCCUUCAGCAGUGUACUCAAGAACAUGCCAAAGAAAUUCCAAGGUUUUUGCUACAGUUAGUUUCUCCAGCAGCUAUUUUGGAUAACUCACCUGCAUUUUUAAAUGUGGUAGAGACAAAUCCUUUUAAGCAUCUUACACACCUCUCACUAAAACUUUUACCUGGAAAUGAUGUGGAGAUAAAGAAAUUUCUAGCAGGCUGUUUGAAAUGUAGCAAGGAAGAAAAAUUAUCAUUGACGCAAUCACUAGAUGAUGUUACUAGGCAACUGGACUUUACACAAAAGAUAUUAACAGAAAAAAACCAAGAAUUGGAUAAGUUACGGAAUGAAUGGGCAUCACACACAGCAGCCUUGACAAACAAGCAUUCUCAGGAACUGACAAAUGAAAAGGAAAAAGCCUUGCAGGCACAGGCUCAGUAUCAACAGCAGCAUGAACAACAGAAAAAAGAUUUAGAAAUCCUCCAUCAACAAAACAUCCAGCAGCUGCAACACAGACUAUCUGAUUUAGAAGCAGCUAAUAAAGACCUAACUGAAAGAAAAUAUAAAGGAGACUCCACUAUUAGAGAACUUAAAGCAAAACUUUCUGGUGUUGAAGAGGAGCUGCAGCGGACUAAGCAAGAGGUUCUCUCUUUGCGAAGAGAGAAUUCUACAUUAGAUGCUGAAUGCCAUGAGAAAGAAAAGCAUAUUAAUCAGCUACAAACAAAAGUAGCAGUUUUAGAACAGGAAAUCAAGGAUAAGGACCAGCUUGUUUUAAGAACAAAAGAAGCAUUUGAUACAAUCCAGGAACAAAAGGUGGUUUUAGAAGAAAAUGGUGAGAAAAAUCAAGUACAACUAGGAAAGCUUGAAGCUACAAUAAAAUCAUUAUCUGCAGAACUUCUGAAGGCAAAUGAAAUUAUCAAGAAGUUACAAGGGGAUCUGAAAACUUUAAUGGGUAAGUUGAAAUUGAAGAAUACAGUUACUAUUCAGCAAGAAAAGCUCUUGGCUGAGAAGGAGGAAAAAUUACAAAAGGAGCAAAAGGAAUUACAAGAUGUCGGGCAGUCUCUUCGAAUUAAAGAGCAAGAGGUAUGCAAAUUACAAGAACAGUUAGAAGCUACAGUUAAAAAACUUGAAGAAAGCAAACAACUUCUAAAAAAUAAUGAAAAGUUAAUCACAUGGUUAAAUAAAGAACUAAACGAAAAUCAGCUAGUGAGAAAGCAAGAUGUAUUGGGACCUUCUACUACUCCACUUGCCCAUUCUAGCAGCAAUGCAAUCAGAAGUGGAAUUUCUCCUAACCUGAAUAUGGUUGAUGGUAGACUGACUUACCCAACCUGUGGGAUUGGUUAUCCUGUCUCCUCUGCAUAUGCAUUCCAGAAAACCUUCCCUCAUUCGAUAUCUGCCAAAAAUACCAGCCACCCUGGUUCAGGAACAAAGGUUCAGUUUAAUUUGCAAUUUACAAAACCAAACGCAUCGCUAGGAGAUGUUCAGUCAGAAGCAGUUAUUAGUAUGCCUUGCUCAACUGAUAAGGAAAAUAGUGAAAAUUUAGGGUUGGAAUCCAAAUACCUGAAGAAAAGAGAAGAUAGCAUUCCUUUACGAGGACUCAGUCAGAACCUAUUUAAUAAUUCAGACCAUCAGAAAGAUGGCACGUUAGGAGCAUUACAGACAUCUUCCAAACCCACAGUGCUCUCCUCUGCAUCUUCAGCAUAUUUCCCUGGGCAGUUACCAAACAGUUAAUUCUAGUGUCAUGUUUUACUUUUUAUUGAUAUUUUAGAAACUCAGGUGCUUAAAAAAAUAUGUCAACACAAAUCAAAUCCUAAAUAAGCAAGUUUCAAAUUUUACUUGAGCUGUUAGACUGAAUCCUUUGUUAAGUUACAGGAACAAAUUUCUACUUGGGAAUUGGUAAAGACUGUGAGUAAAUGACAUUUUUUGGUUUGUGAACACGGUGUUUUAUAGAAUAAUAGUAGGAAUUUUAUUAAGCUAAUCUUUAGAAAUUCAGUUCUAAGGAAAGAGUUGAUCCUUAUAAGGGAGAUUCUAAUCACACUGAAAAUCCGGGCAAACUAAAACUUGUUCAUAAUCUCAUACUAUGCAACCAAAGAAUGCUAAUUCAUUUCAUCACUUUCAUUGGUAAAAUAAAACUUUUAAAUUCAACAUCUGAAAUUAUGAGGGAAAAUGGUUACCUCCUGCAAUGUACUACUGAUGACAUUUACAUUAAAGGGAAAAGUUCUAAAUUUACCUUAAAUUUAACUGAAAUGAAUUAAGCCUUCAUAGCAUUUUUUCCUUGAAACAUUUAAAUUUGCUAUUAAUAAGUUUGUUAUAAAAAUAAUUUGGACAGUGUAUGUGAGCAGAUUAAGUAUAGGGUCUCUAGUCAUUUGAACUGACAAGUUUUUUAAACUUCAGUGCUUCCUUAAUGUUUAUACUCAUCUUAAUUUUUUUUCCAUUUGGAGUUUUAUUAGUUAUGCAGCUAAAUCUGUUAUCAGUGGAAUUUUAAAACUUGGUACCAUACAAAAUCUAUAUCAUGAAUAUUCACUUAUUUAUUUUUAUAGUAUCAGAAUUUGGGUUGAUUUCAAUGUUAAUAAACUAGGCAGAACAAAUAACUGUUAGAAGGUACAAUUUUCUUCUCUUCUCUGUAUCUAAAAGUUUUAAGAAUUGUUCCUUGGGAAAAAUUGAUUUUUAAAAAUUCAGCUAGAAUCAUAGGGCCUCAUUUUGUUUUCUUAUUGACAAACUAUACCUGGUAGCAUUCUCUAAAGAGUCUUCUAGAUCAGUCUUUGUAAAGUACUAAUGCUCGUCAUAAUUUUAAAAUUACUUUCAAAUACCUUCUUACACAGAUGAAGAAACAUUUCAAGAUAUUAAUGAUAUAAUAAUAAUGUUACUGAGUUCCAUGGUAAGACAAAGAAUCUUUACAGUAUUUUUUUUUUUUUUUAAUGAAGCCAGUAUCUUGAAACUACUGGCAGUUCAAAGUGUCUUAAACUAGGGAUCUAAUCUGAAAAUUCUGUAAAUGUUAGGCAGUGAUACUCCCCCGUGUCCUCUCCAUUUAGAUACACUACUGUAUUAGUGAGAAUACUUGGUACAAUAACUUGAAAGCACUUGCUAUUGAAGGAAAGAAGCCUCUUGGUGAUUUUGGAAGGGGCUUUGUUGUAAAUACUAUGUAAUAUAUAUAGAAUGUUGUGACAGGUUUUGGAUGGGAUGCAUGAUAUACAGGUAGCUCUCUUUUUAAUAUAUCUCUUUACACACACACACACACACACACACACACACACACACACACACACACACACGGAAAGUCGAAUUUUUACAAAGAUAGGAUAGAGAUCAUUCGAUAUUAGCUUGCAAAUUUUUUUGUAGUAAAUGUAUAUGGACUUCCAAUGUGCUAAAUCUUUGCUCUACCUCUUAAACUUUUAGUUGAAAUUGUUUUGCAGUGUAAAAUUGUACAUGUGUUAAUAAUCAAAGUGUUGCAUUUAAUGUUAUUUCUGUCAACGGUGAACUUUGUUAAUAAACUAUUAAAAUUACUUUUGGGGUAUGACAUGUAAAAAGUAUAUUAAAAGAAAAAAACAAGAAUGAUUUAUAACAUCUACACUAGAAAAUCAAGUACUUCCAGCUAAUCUGCAUACUGCAUUUUUGUUUCUUUCCUCUUGUUUUCCUACAGUUUUUUUAGGGAAAAGAAAUGGAUGCGAAGCAAGAAUAAUGCUUUGAUUUGUUACUGUAAAAAUGAUUAAGGUAACAAAGCCAAAACAGGCCCUAUAGGAACUCACAGAUCAAGACUUUAAAAAAAAAAAUCAUUAAAAUAUUUAACUUUUUAUUAACAUAAUAUUUACAUUUCUUUUAAGACCUUAUUUAACCAUAGUGAGUGUUCCAAGUUUAAAAAGCAUUAAGCAAUAACCACACACAAGAUGAAAAGUGUAAACUAUACAGUACUUUAUGUACAAUUUUUACAAAGUAACACUUUUUUAAAUAAUAUAACUGGACACAAAAAUAUACACUUUAGAGAAAUUCACAUCAGUAAUUGUAUAAAGCUCUCCUCUAGGGUCCUGAAAAUUUAGGACAAACAUUAGCUCUGUAAAUAAAGUGUUACUGUGACAGUCCUGAAAGGCCACUAUAUAUAUUUAUCUACAUAUAGAUAUCACAUUUACUUUUUCAAGGCUACCAGCUUUACUAUAUAAUUUGUAGAUUAUGUAUUCAAGUGUUGAGGUGCUUAUGAUUAUGCAAACAUUAAAAGAAUAGUGGUAUAAGAAGUAGCUGGGGAACAAAUUUGAGCCAGCAUUUAGAUUUACAGGCUCUAAACACCCCAAUUCAAAUUCUAAAUGGCUGAUACUUUCUCACUUCCAAAACAGUAGUGAAUAAUGUUUAAAAGUACUGCAAACAAGCUUGAAACAUGAUUCAGAUUUAGUACAGUUGAGUUUUUUUUUUUUUUUUUAAUGCAAACAAUUCAUUUACUAUUUCUUUGUUUUA